CCGCCCCGCCCCCUUCUCUUCUUUCAACGAAGUUUCACUCUUGUCGCACAGGCUGGAGUGCGCUGGUCUGAUCUUAGCUUACUGCAGCCUCCACCUCCCAGGUUUAAGUGAUUCUCCUGCCUCAGCCUCCCAAGUAGCUGGGACUACAGGCACCUGCCACCACGCCCAGCUAGUAGAGACGGUUUUCGCCAUGUUGGCCAGGCUGGUCUUGAACUGACCUCAACUGACCAGCCCACCUCGGCCUCCCAAAGUGCUGGGGUUACAGGCCUGAGCCACCGGGUCCGGCCGACAACCGCGUUUCUACUGUGUCCCCACAUGGCCUUUUCUCAGUGUGUGAAAAUCCCUAGUGUCUUUCUUUUCCAAUUAUUCUAUAAUGAAUAUGUAUUUAUAACAAAAAUAAACCUUUUUUUAGAAAAGAACAUAUUUUUCCAAAUAUACAAUGAUGUGAAAAAUUUAUUUUGUGUCAUGCUUACAAAAACAGAACAUAAAAUUUUAGGAAUAGUAUGAUUUCUACAAAUGUUAAAUAAAAACAUAGAGAAAGGGCCAGGCACAGUGGCUCAUGCCUGUAAUCCCAGCACUUUGGGAGGCCGAGGCGGGUGGAUCACUUGAGGUCAGGAAUUUGAGACCAGCCUGGCCAACAUGGUGGAACCCCAUCUCUACCAAAAAUACAAAAAUUAGCCAGACAUGGUGGCGUGUACCUGUAGUCCCACCUACUGGAGAGGCUGAGGCAGGAGAAUCGCUUGAACUGGGAGGUGGAGGCUGCAGGGAGCUGAGAUCGCACCACUGCACUCCAGCCUGGGCCACAGAGCCAGACUCUGUCUGAAAAAAAAAAAAAAAAAGGCAUUUAAAAAAAGGAAAUUACACUAAGAUAUUUGCCGUGCCUGUCUCUGGGUGGGACUGUAGAUGAUUUUUUUUCUCUUUUUACUGUUCUGUAUUUUCUUUCUUUUUUUUUUUUUUAACUAAACCUGAAUGAUUUUUAUAAUAGAAAUGUUUAAUUAAAGAAACCUCAGACAAUAGGCAAAGUCCAGAUAGGAAAAAGCCAACAUUAAUGCAGGUGGUUUUCCAAAACCAAUGUUCUGUGGUUGGGAAGCGGGGGCCAUUGCUAGAGCCUCUCUUACCCCCAGCCCCGUGUGCUCAUCAGCCCUCGGAGAGCGUAAAAACUGCCCUUUCACACGCCACCAACCCAGUCUUUCCCAGUCUUCAUUUCCCUAACUGCUCCCUGCUCCGUGAAAAUCUCCAUUCCGGGUGACGUUAUGUCCUCCUUCCGCCCACAUCAGGGCUAUUUGUAUUUACACAGCUGUUUACUCGCUUAUUCUCGGCUCUCCACCUUGUGGUGCACACUCCACGGAGGCAGGGACCUUGUCAAGCUUGUGCUCUGUUCUCAAACGCCCGGAGGAGUAACGGCUCUGUAACUAUUUGUUGAAUGAAAGAAAUAACCUAUGAGAAUUCCUAUCAUCAUCUGCUUUUCAUAGACUUUUUCAGGAAAUGAGGCUCAGAGAAGGAAGCACGUCUCCCAGGGUCACACAGCCUGGAAGUGAAGGAGCGGAGAUUUAAACGCAGAUGGAGCCUUACUCUGUCGCCAGGCUGGGGUGCAGUGGCGCGAUCUCGGCUUACUGCAAGCUCCGCCUCGUGGAUUCAAGCAAUUCUUCUGCCUCCGCCUCCCAGGUAGCUGGGAUUACAGAUGAUCUGCCUGCCUCGGCCUCCCAAAGUGCUGGGAUUACAGGCAUGAGCCACGGUGUCCGGCCGCAUCCCUGCUUCUUAAGCCUCUUCCUCUGCAGUCCAUCCUGAUUACUAACGAAUGGCCGAGAAGCACGACUUUCAUCCAGCCACUCCCAGCCUCAGAGCCUUCACCAGCUCCUUCUCGCUGCGGGAUAAAGUACAGCUCCUCCGCCAGCCCGGCGCGCAGCGGGCCUCACCUCUCCUGCCCGGCCCUCUCAAUUGUCCCCUGCCCGGCCCUCUCAAUUGUCCCCUGCCCGGCCCUCUCAAUUGUCCCCUGCCCGGCCCUCUCAAUUGUCCCCUGCUCUUCCACCAGGAUCCUUGAAUCCUGCCAGACCUCGCUCCCCUGGGCCUGGGGCGCCCCCGAACUCAUCCUCGCAGCUUCCCUGUCCCAGGAGGGCCCGCUGGCCAAAUCCUCCCCACUCUGCCUGCGGCGAGGCUUGCUGGACUAGCAGACUCAGAAUGGCCUGUUCUGAACAGCCUUGGGGUUUCCGUUUGCACAUUCUGAAGCAAAGCAAUGAGGUUCCUGGAACUGGAUGUAGCAGCCACCUACUGCCACUAACCACAGAGUGGCCACCAGGCAUCUCCGGACACUGGCAGUUGGCAACCCCUCUGGUUCAGAUCAUCUGAAAUGAAGCCCUACACAGCCCAAGGACACGCCCACGUCUGCGACAGAACGCACACUGAGAGCUUCCUGUUGCCUGGGAAACGCGUUAAAUGUGCUACAGAGACACAGACUUGUAUCCAACAUUUCAGAGGUAGUCAGUAUGCAGCAGGAAAACAAAAUAAAACGCAGGCUGAAAUGGGUGGGAUCCAAGGAAUCAAAGCAGUAGAUGGACGACCAGGAGCACCCCAGGUUAUCUUCAGGAAACAGAGCGACAAAACGCAAAGAGACAGGAUUUCGCCAUGUUGCUCAGACACUGGUCUCGAACUCCAGGACUCAAACUGGAACUGGGCUUAAACUCCUGGACUCCCGCCUCAGCCUCCCAAAGUGCUGGGAUUACAGGCGCCCGGCCUCAGGGCCCUUUUCUUAGAGGGAGUGGAGAACUGGCCCAGGUGGGAGAGUAAGACAAGCUGCCACCUAGCCGGGCUGUGCCUGGCUGCCGUGCCUGAAGAGCCCACCGUGGAUUCUCUCCAUGCUGGUCGGGCAGCAGCCGAGGGACUGACCAGAGAGGAAGAGCAGGAUCCCAGAGGAAGGGACAGUGAAAGCAUUAAGAUAAGCAGCAUUCCACUAUAAAUCUUACACAAAAUGCCACAUCCACUGAUCACACGACCUUGAAAAAUGAAGAUAGGCAGCGUCGCACUUUCAAUCUUGUACUUCAGGGAAUGAACUCCAUUGCCUUUGUGUGCACGAAGCCGGAAGCACGACCACUCUUCACCCUCGGCCUCAUUACAACACCAAGACCUCUGCCUCGGCGCGGGAGCUCUCACCUGGAAUCCCAGCACCUUGGGAGGCCGAAGCGGACGGAUCACCUGAGGUGUCAGGAGUUUGAGACCAGCCUGGCCAACAAGGGACGCUCACCUACCUCAUGAAUUACGCGUGUCGCCCUCCUCAAGACGCCACAACGCACUCCCCUGGGGAGCCAGCUGGAGACCUCUCCCUGCGGUGCUGUCUCCUCCGUGGUGGAACGGAAGCCCCUAAUAAAGCCUUGUCUGGGAAAUUU